UCCUCAGUGGUCUACCGGUCAUGAUUGGCGCUUGUCACGCGCUAGAACAGGGUUCGACUCCCUGCUGGGGAG
rnacentral:tRNA from 2 species